rnacentral:rRNA from 1 species
GAUGAACGCUGGCGGCGUGCCUAAUACAUGCAAGUCGAGCGAACAGACGAGGAUCUUGCUCCUCUGACGUUAGCGGCGGACGGGUGAGUAACACGUGGAUAACCUACCUAUAAGACUGGGAUAACUUCGGGAAACCGGAGCUAAUACCGGAUAAUAUAUUGAACCGCAUGGUUCAAUAGUGAAAGACGGUUUUGCUGUCACUUAUAGAUGGAUCCGCGCCGCAUUAGAUAGUUGGUAAGGUAACGGCUUACCAAGGCAACGAUGCGUAGCCGACCUGAGAGGGUGAUCGCCCACACUGGAACUGAGACACGGUCCAGACUCCUACGGGAGGCAGCAGUAGGGAAUCUUCCGCAAUGGGCGAAAGCCUGACGGAGCAACGCCGCGUGAGUGAUGAAGGUCUUCGGAUCGUAAAACUCUGUUAUUAGGGAAGAACAAAUGUGUAAGUAACUAUGCACGUCUUGACGGUACCUAAUCAGAAAGCCACGGCUAACUACGUG